rnacentral:rRNA from 1 species
ACGCUGGCGGCAGGCCUAACACAUGCAAGUCGAGCGGUAGAGAGAAGCUUGCUUCUCUUGAGAGCGGCGGACUGGUGAGUAAUGCCUAGGAAUCUGCCUGGUAGUGGGGGAUAACGUUCGGAAACGGAUGCUAAUACCGCAUACGUCCUACGGGAGAAAGCAGGGGACCUUCGGGCCUUGCGCUAUCAGAUGAGCCUAGGUCGGAUUAGCUAGUUGGUGGGGUAAUGGCUCACCAAGGCGACGAUCCGUAACUGGUCUGAGAGGAUGAUCAGUCACACUGGAACUGAGACACGGUCCAGACUCCUACGGGAGGCAGCAGUGGGGAAUAUUGGACAAUGGGCGAAAGCCUGAUCCAGCCAUGCCGCGUGUGUGAAGAAGGUCUUCGGAUUGUAAAGCACUUUAAGUUGGGAGGAAGGGCAGUUGCCUAAUACGUAACCGUUUUGACGUUACCGACAGAAUAAGCACCGGCUAACUCUGUGCCAGCAGCCGCGGUAAUACAGAGGGUGCAAGCGUUAAUCGGAAUUACUGGGCGUAAAGCGCGCGUAGGUGGUUUGUUAAGUUGGAUGUGAAAUCCCCGGGCUCAACCUGGGAACUGCAUUCAAAACUGACUGACUAGAGUAUGGUAGAGGGUGGUGGAAUUUCCUGUGUAGCGGUGAAAUGCGUAGAUAUAGGAAGGAACACCAGUGGCGAAGGCGACCACCUGGACUGAUACUGACACUGAGGUGCGAAAGCGUGGGGAGCAAAC